GGCCUUUAGCCCCCCCAGUAUUAAAGGUCCCGCCUGCCCAGUGAAUUUCCCCCAUUAAACGGCCGCGGUAUUAUAACCGUGCAAAGGUAGCGUAAUCACUUGUCUCCCAAAUAGAGACCCGUAUGAACGACUAGAUGAGGGCAUACCUGUCUCCUGAGGCCAAUCAAUAAAACUGAUCUAUCAGUACAAAAGCUGAUAUAACAUCAUAAGACGAGAAGACCCUGUGGAGCUUUAAACAUAGUACUAAUCAAUAGGCCCUAACACCACCAAGGUGUCACAGUAAGCGGAAUAGUAUAAAUUUUUAGUUGGGGCGACUACGGAAUAAAACAAACCUUCCAUGCAUCCGAGCUCGACGCUAACUUAAGGCUGACAGGCCAAACACUUGACCCAGUAAUAAACUGAUCAACGAACCAAGUUACCCCAGGGAUAACAGCGCUAUCCCCUUUAAGAGUCCCUAUCGACAAGGGGGCUUACGACCUCGAUGUUGGAUCAGGACACCCCGGUGGUGCAGCCACUGCCAAAGGUUCGUUUGUUCAACGAUUAAAGUCCU
rnacentral:rRNA from 1 species